UACGUAGGGUGCGAGCGUUAAUCGGAAUUACUGGGCGUAAAGGGUGCGCAGGCGGCGUCGCAAGUCAGGCGUGAAAUCCCCGGGCUUAACCUGGGAACUGCACUUGAAACUACGAUGCUGGAGUAUGGCAGAGGGAGGUGGAAUUCCACGUGUAGCGGUGAAAUGCGUAGAGAUGUGGAGGAACACCGAUGGCGAAGGCAGCCGCCUGGGCCAAUACUGACGCUCAUGCACGAAAGCGUGGGGAGCAAACAGG
rnacentral:rRNA from 1 species